UACGGAGGGCGCGAGCGUUAAUCGGAAUUACUGGGCGUAAAGCGCGCGUAGGCUGUUGUGUAAGUUGGGGGUGAAAUCCCACGGCUCAACCGUGGAACAGCCCUUGAUACUGCGCGACUUGAAUCCGGGAGAGGGUGGCGGAAUUCCAGGUGUAGGAGUGAAAUCCGUAGAUAUCUGGAGGAACAUCAGUGGCGAAGUCGGCCACCUGGACCGGUAUUGACGCUGAGGCGCGAAAGCGUGGGGAGCAAACAGG
rnacentral:rRNA from 1 species